AUUGAACGCUGGCGGCAGGCCUAACACAUGCAAGUCGAGCGGAUGAAGGGAGCUUGCUCCUGGAUUCAGCGGCGGACGGGUGAGUAAUGCCUAGGAAUCUGCCUGGUAGUGGGGGAUAACGUCCGGAAACGGGCGCUAAUACCGCAUACGUCCUGAGGGAGAAAGUGGGGGAUCUUCGGACCUCACGCUAUCAUAUGAGCCUAGGUCGGAUUAGCUAGUUGGUGGGGUAAAGGCCUACCAAGGCGACGAUCCGUAACUGGUCUGAGAGGAUGAUCAGUCACACUGGAACGGAGACACGGUCCAGACUCCUACGGGAGGCAGCAGUGGGGAAUAUUGGACAAUGGGCGAAAGCCUGAUCCAGCCAUGCCGCGUGUGUGAAGAAGGUCUUCGGAUUGUAAAGCACUUUAAGUUGGGAGGAAGGGCAGUAAGUUAAUACCUUGCUGUUUUGACGUUACCAACAGAAUAAGCACCGGCUAACUUCGUG
rnacentral:rRNA from 1 species